rnacentral:rRNA from 1 species
GACGAACGCUGGCGGCGUGCUUAACACAUGCAAGUCGAACGGAAAGGCCCUGCUUUUGUGGGGUGCUCGAGUGGCGAACGGGUGAGUAACACGUGAGUAACCUGCCCUUGACUUUGGGAUAACUUCAGGAAACCGGGGCUAAUACCGGAUAGGAGCUCCUGCUGCAUGGUGGGGGUUGGAAAGUUUCGGCGGUUGGGGAUGGACUCGCGGCUUAUCAGCUUGUUGGUGGGGUAGUGGCUUACCAAGGCUUUGACGGGUAGCCGGCCUGAGAGGGUGACCGGCCACAUUGGGACUGAGAUACGGCCCAGACUCCUACGGGAGGCAGCAGUGGGGAAUAUUGCACAAUGGGCGGAAGCCUGAUGCAGCAACGCCGCGUGCGGGAUGACGGCCUUCGGGUUGUAAACCGCUUUCGCCUGUGACGAAGCGUGAGUGACGGUAAUGGGUAAAGAAGCACCGGCUAACUACGUGCCAGCAGCCGCGGUGAUACGUAGGGUGCGAGCGUUGUCCGGAUUUAUUGGGCGUAAAGGGCUCGUAGGUGGUUGAUCGCGUCGGAAGUGUAAUCUUGGGGCUUAACCCUGAGCGUGCUUUCGAUACGGGUUGACUUGAGGAAGGUAGGGGAGAAUGGAAUUCCUGGUGGAGCGGUGGAAUGCGCAGAUAUCAGGAGGAACACCAGUGGCGAAGGCGGUUCUCUGGGCCUUUCCUGACGCUGAGGAGCGAAAGCGUGGGGAGCGAACAGGCUUAGAUACCCUGGUAGUCCACGCUGUAAACGGUGGGUACUAGGUGUGGGGUCCAUUCCACGGGUUCCGUGCCGUAGCUAACGCUUUAAGUACCCCGCCUGGGGAGUACGGCCGCAAGGCUAAAACUCAAAGGAAUUGACGGGGCCCCGCACAAGCGGCGGAGCAUGCGGAUUAAUUCGAUGCAACGCGUAGAACCUUACCUGGGUUUGACAUGGAUCGGGAGUGCUCAGAGAUGGGUGUGCCUCUUUUGGGGUCGGUUCACAGGUGGUGCAUGGCUGUCGUCAGCUCGUGUCGUGAGAUGUUGGGUUAAGUCCCGCAACGAGCGCAACCCUUGUUCACUGUUGCCAGCACGUUAUGGUGGGGACUCAGUGGAGACCGCCGGGGUCAACUCGGAGGAAGGUGGGGAUGACGUCAAGUCAUCAUGCCCCUUAUGUCCAGGGCUUCACGCAUGCUACAAUGGCUGGUACAGAGAGUGGCGAGCCUGUGAGGGUGAGCGAAUCUCGGAAAGCCGGUCUCAGUCCGGAUUGGGGUCUGCAACUCGACCUCAUGAAGUCGGAGUCGCUAGUAAUCGCAGAUCAGCAACGCUGCGGUGAAUACGUUCCCGGG